rnacentral:rRNA from 1 species
AUGGGAAACAGGUUAAUAUUCCUGUACUUGGUGUUACUGCGAAGGGGGGACGGAGAAGGCUAUGUUGGCCGGGCGACGGUUGUCCCGGUUUAAGCGUGUAGGCUGGUUUUCCAGGCAAAUCCGGAAAAUCAAGGCUGAGGCGUGAUGACGAGGCACUACGGUGCUGAAGCAACAAAUGCCCUGCUUCCAGGAAAAGCCUCUAAGCAUCAGGUAACAUCAAAUCGUACCCCAAACCGACACAGGUGGUCAGGUAGAGAAUACCAAGGCGCUUGAGAGAACUCGGGUGAAGGAACUAGGCAAAAUGGUGCCGUAACUUCGGGAGAAGGCACGCUGAUAUGUAGGUGAAGCGACUUGCUCGUGGAGCUGAAAUCAGUCGAAGAUACCAGCUGGCUGCAACUGUUUAUUAAAAACACAGCACUGUGCAAACACGAAAGUGGACGUAUACGGUGUGACGCCUCCCCGGUGCCGGAAGGUUAAUUGAUGGGGUCAGCGCAAGCGAAGCUCUUGAUCGAAGCCCCGGUAAACGGCGGCCGUAACUAUAACGGUCCUAAGGUAGCGAAAUUCCUUGUCGGGUAAGUUCCGAUCUGCACGAGUGGCGUAAUGAUGGCCAGGCUGUCUCCACCCGAGACUCAGUGAAAUUGAACUCGCUGUGAAGAUGCAGUGUACCCGCGGCAAGACGGAAAGACCCCGUGAACCUUUACUAUAGCUUGACACUGAACAUUGAGCCUUGAUGUGUAGGAUAGGUGGGAGGCUUUGAAGUGUGGACGCCAGUCUGCAUGGAGCCGACCUUGAAAUACCACCCUUUAAUGUUUGAUGUUCUAACGUGGACCCGUGAUCCGGGUUGCGGACAGUGUCUGGUGGGUAGUUUGACUGGGGCGGUCUCCUCCUAAAGAGUAACGGAGGAGCACGAGGGUUGGCUAAUCCUGGUCGGACAUCAGGAGGUUAGUGCAAUGGCAUAAGCCAGCUUGACUGCUAGCGUGACGGCGCGAGCAGGUGCGAAAGCAGGUCAUAGUGAUCCGGUGGUUCUGAAUGGAAGGGCCAUCGCUCAACGGAUAAAAGGUACUCCGGGGAUAACAGGCUGAUACCGCCCAAGAGUUCAUAUCGACGGCGGUGUUUGGCACCUCGAUGUCGGCUCAUCACAUCCUGGAGCUGAAGUAGGUCCCAAGGGUAUGGCUGUUCGCCAUUUAAAGUGGUACGCGAGCUGGGUUUAGAACGUCGUGAGACAGUUCGGUCCCUAUCUGCCGUGGGCGCUGGAGAACUGAGGGGGGCUGCUCCUAGUACGAGAGGACCGGAGUGGACGCAUCACUGGUGUUCGGGUUGUCAUGCCAAUGGCACUGCCCGGUAGCUAAAUGCGGAAGAGAUAAGUGCUGAAAGCAUCUAAGCACGAAACUUGCCCCGAGAUGAGUUCUCCCUGACUCCUUGAGAGUCCUGAAGGAACGUUGAAGACGACGACGUUGAUAGGCCGGGUGUGUAAGCGCAGCGAUGCGUUGAGCUAACCGGUACUAAUGAACCGUGAGGCUUAACCUC